UCCUUCCGCUUCCGCUUUCUCUCCAGUCAUUCAGCGCCCGCACUCCUGGUCUGGCGCUGCUGGGUCUAGGUUCCGGGUUCGUUUCUCUGGUUUCCGGGCCAGGCUGGUGUGUCCCGCUGCCUGCCGGGCGGAGCCGCGGUCCUCCGGUGUCUGGACUCGCAGGCCGAGCUCCCCCGGUCCCGUGGCUCCCUGCCGGCCCGGUCUCGGGUCGCAUCGUCCUCCCCACCCAAUGGAGUCCCAAUGCGACUACUCGAUGUACUUUCCGGCUGUGCCGCUACCGCCACGCGCCGAGCUGGCCGGGGACCCGGGCCGGUACCGGGCGCUGCCCCGGCGCAACCAUCUGUACCUGGGGGAGACAGUCCGCUUUCUGCUGGUGCUGCGCUGCCGAGGCAGCGUGGGGGCUGGCGUUGGGGGCGGCGCGGGCUUGGCAUCCCGAGGGGCCUGGACCGAGCUGGCGACCUCCCUGGCCGCCCUGGCCUCGGUCAGCGCAGGAGGAGCGCUGCCAGGGUGCGGCAGCGCCGGCGACCAGGAUGCUGACCCCCCGGGGGGAGGGGACCCGGGGGGCGGGGGUUUGUUUCGAGGUUGCAGCCCCCUUCUCACCCACGGCCAGGGCCCUGCUACCUCAGGGGGCGCGACCACGCUGCCUGUGGAAGAACCGAUUGUGUCCACAGAUGAAGUCAUCUUCCCACUCACCGUUUCACUGGAUAGACUGCCCCCAGGGACACCCAAGGCCAAGAUUGUAGUGACCGUGUGGAAGCGGGAGGUCGAGGCACCAGAAGUCAGAGAUCAAGGCUACCUGCGCUUGCUACAGACUCGAUCUCCUGGGGAGACUUUCCGUGGAGAACAGAGCGCCUUCAAGGCCCAAGUGAGCACCCUAUUGACGCUGCUGCCCCCUCCAGUUCUGAAAUGCCGGCAGUUCACUGUGGCUGGAAAGCACUUGACCGUGCUCAAGGUGCUGAAUAGCUCUUCCCAGGAAGAGAUCUCCAUCUGGGAUAUCCGAAUCCUCCCCAACUUCAAUGCCAGUUAUCUACCUGUCAUGCCUGAUGGCUCUGUGCUGCUGGUGGACAAUGUCUGUCACCAGUCUGGGGAAGUCUCCAUGGGAUCCUUCUGUCGGCUUCCUGGAACAUCUGGCUACUUCCCCUGUCCACUUAGUGCCCUGGAGGAACACAACUUCCUGUUCCAGCUGAGAGGGGGUGAGCAGCCCCCUCCUGGGGCCAAGGAGGGCCUUGAAGUCCCCUUGAUUGCCGUGGUUCAGUGGUCCACGCCGAAGCUGCCCUUCACCCAGAGCAUUUACACCCACUACCGCCUCCUCUCUCACUGCUCCUAGCCUGCCCAGUGUCCGCCUAGACCGCCCCUGCUUUGUGAUGACUGCUUCUUGUGAGUCCCCUGUUCGGACCUACGAGCGUUUCACUGUCACCUACACGCUGCUCAACAACCUCCAAGACUUCCUUGCUGUGAGGCUUGUGUGGACCCCGGAACAUGCACAGGCUGGAAAGCAGCUGUGUGAGGAGGAGCGCCGGGCCAUGCAGGCAGCCCUAGACUCCAUCGUCUGUCACACACCCCUCAAUAAUCUUGGCUUCUCCCGGAAGGGCAGCGCGCUUACCUUCAGUGUGGCCUUCCAGGCCCUGAGGACGGGGCUCUUUGAGCUGAGCCAGCACAUGAAACUGAAGCUGCAGUUCACUGCCAGCGUGUCCCACCCUCCGCCUGAAGCCCGGCCCCUGUCCCGAAAGAGCAGCCCCAGCAGUCCUGCUGUCCGAGACCUGGUGGAGAGACACCAGGCCAGCCUGGGCCGUUCUCAAUCUUUCUCCCACCAGCAGCCUUCCCGUAGCCACCUCAUGAGGUCAGGCAGUGUGAUGGAACGCAGGGCCAUCACACCCCCUGUGGCCUCUCCCGUCGGCCGUCCCCUCUACCUGCCCCCCGACAAGGCUGUGCUUUCUCUUGAUAAGAUUGCCAAGCGUGAGUGUAAAGUCCUGGUGGUGGAGCCCGUCAAGUAGCACCGUUUGCUAGCUCAACCCCGGACAGGACACGCCAGAAACCCUAAGCCCCAGAGGGUCCCUUGUUCCUAGGCUGUACCUCCCACUGUGGGCAGAGAGGCCUUGCAGGGCUGCCUGUCUGUGUCUGCUGGUGAGGGAUGAGGGCAGAAGCUGUGAAAUCACAGUGUGGCUGCAGCUCAGACAACAGUAUUCCAUAAGUUCGGGGGGGGGGGGGUGCGCGAGGGGAGGGCUGGCCCCACCCCAGCAGGGCAAGGGCUGCGGGAGCUCCCUUGUCCUGUCCUUCGUCCAGUUUACAGAGUAUCCUCUCUCACUCGUGUUCAAGCCUCCCUGCCACUGCCGCUGCUGUUCCUUUGCACUCACCCGCAGGGCUGAGAUUAGAGGGUGGUAGUGGUAAAGGGACCCAGGACAAUGACUCUCCUGUCUCAGGGGUUGGAUGGCCUCUUUCUGCCCCUCAUGUUUACGUUGGCAGCCUGAAGCACUUUAAGUUCUGUUUUUGUUUUCUGUUUUUGUCUGUUCCUGUAACUUAUUCUCUGACUACAUCUUCCAGCUGAAGUAAAACUAUUAAAAGCUGUUUGGGAGGGAG